UCCUACGGGAGGCAGCAGUAAGGAAUAUUGGUCAAUGGGGGGAACCCUGAACCAGCCAUGCCGCGUGCAGGAAGACGGCCCUACGGGUUGUAAACUGCUUUUGCACGGGAAUAACCCUCAUUAUGUAUAAUGAGCUGAAUUACCGGAGACAAUAUCG
rnacentral:rRNA from 1 species